rnacentral:lncRNA from 1 species
ACACUUAACUGACUGAGCCACCCAGCUGCCCUCCAAAGGAGUUUUUUUUUUUGUUUUGUUUUGUUUUAAAGAUUUAUUUAUUUCACAGAGAGACAAAUCACAAGUAGGCAGAGAGGCAGAGAGAGAGGGGGAAGCAGGCUCCCCGCCGAGCAGAGAGCCCCACACGGGACUUGAUCCCAGGACCCUAGGAUCACGACCUGAGCCAAAGGCAGAGGCUUGAACUCACUGAGCCACCUAGGUGCCCUCCAAAGGAGUUUUUAUAUGUUGAAGUGGACUCACAGGAUCCUGGGGGCUGGGCUAAGGUUGCCUUUUGCCCUUAAACUUUAUUAUUAUGGUCAGUUAGCCAAAGUAUAGUACAUCAUAGGUCAUUGUUGUAACGUCCACUGAUUCAUUAGUUGCGUAUGAGACCCAGUGCUCAUUCCAACAUAUGACCUCCUUAAUACCCCUCAGCCAGUUACCCCAGCAACCCACCCACCUCCCUUCUGUAACUCUCAGUUUGUUCCCCUCCCUGAUUUCUUCCCAUUCACUUUUCCCUCCCUUGCCCUGGGGUCUUCCACGCUAUUCCUUAUGUUCCACACAGGAGUGAAACCACAUGAGAACUGUCUUUCUCUGCUUAACUUACUUCAUUUAGCAUAAUCCCCUCUAGCUCUGUUCAUGCCGAUGCAAAUGGGCGGGCAUUCAUCCUUUCUGAGGGCUGAGUCAUAUUCCAUUGUAUAUAUUGAUGAAGUUCUAGAACCUAGGUGAGGUUCGGUGGGCUGAGGUCCAGAACCGAUGACCAAGAAAGAAUUCUUGAGACAUCUUUGGUGCAAAAUGGUGGUUUAUUAAAGCACGGGGAUAGGACCCAUGGGCAGAAGAGCUGCUGCCCCGCGUUGUGAGGGAUGGCAGGUUAUGUACCCUGCGGUUAUGGAAGCCCGGCCUGGAAGAGGGUCUGGAUUACUUUCCCGUUCCUUGUGUUCCUGCAUCUCGAAGGCCUCCCCAGCAUUCCCUGGUGGUUAUUUCGAGUGCACCUGUUCCUGAAACGGCUUGAGAAUCCCACGGACUUGUCGUUAGCAGGCAGGUGCAUCUACAUUGCCAAGUUUAGUUCUCCACCUACUGCGGAUCUGGUGUUCUUGUCUGCUCUCGGCUCCUCCUCUUUUCAGGAAACCGUUCAGCAUUCGCCGAGGGUCUAG